UACAUCAUUAUAGCGUUAAUGCAUCGAAUCCCAUUAAAACUCCGCAGUUAAGCUCGCUCGGGCUAGAGUAAACUAGGAUGGGUGACCACCCGAGAAUUCCUAGUGUUUUAC
rnacentral:rRNA from 1 species